UACGGAGGGGGCUAGCGUUGUUCGGAAUUACUGGGCGUAAAGCGCGCGUAGGCGGCCCUGCAAGUCGGGGGUGAAAGCCCGAGGCUCAACCUCGGAACUGCCUUCGAUACUGCGGGUCUCGAGUCCGGGAGAGGUGAGUGGAAUUCCUAGUGUAGAGGUGAAAUUCGUAGAUAUUAGGAAGAACACCAGUGGCGAAGGCGACUUACUGGACAACCGUUGACGCUGAGGUGCGAAGGCGUGGGGAGCAAACAGG
rnacentral:rRNA from 1 species